rnacentral:rRNA from 1 species
AGGACGAACGCUGGCGGCGUGCUUAACACAUGCAAGUCGAACGGGAGUAUUGAAGAAGCUUGCUUUAGAGAUACUUAGUGGCGGACGGGUGAGUAACGCGUGAGGAGCUGUCCUAUGCAGGGGGACAACAGCUGGAAACGGCUGCUAAUACCCCAUAAGCCGAGAGGUAAAAGGAUCAAUCCGGCAGAGGAGGUACUCGCGUCCUAUCAGCUAGUAGGUGAGGUAACGGCUCACCUAGGCGAAGACGGGUAGCCGGCCUGAGAGGGCGAACGGCCACACUGGAACUGAGAUACGGUCCAGACUCCUACGGGAGGCAGCAGUGGGGAAUAUUGGGCAAUGGGGGAAACCCUGACCCAGCGACGCCGCGUGGGUGAAGAAAUCCUUCGGGAUGUAAAGCCCUGUUGUAUGGGAAGAGCGGAAGACGGUACCAUACGAGGAAGCCCCGGCAAACUACGUGCCAGCAGCCGC